rnacentral:rRNA from 1 species
UACGUAGGGACCAAGCGUUGUUCGGAUUUACUGGGCGUAAAGGGCGCGUAGGCGGCAAUUCAAGUCAGCUGUGAAAUCUCCGGGCUUAACUCGGAACGGUCAGCUGAUACUGCUUUGCUAGAGUGCAGAAGGGGCAAUCGGAAUUCUUGGUGUAGCGGUGAAAUGCGUAGAUAUCAGGAGGAACACCGGUGGCGAAGGCGGGUCUCUGGGCCGAUACUGACGCUGAGGAGCGAAAGCGUGGGGAGCGAACAGG